UAUCCUUACACAUUGGACAUACUAUAUGCGCCUGAAGUUUCAGUAACUGGGUAUGAUGGAAACUGGUUCAUUGGAAGAGAGCAUGUUCAGCUCCAGUGUAAUGCUGACGCAAAUCCACCGCCCACGGAAUUUACAUGGACCAGGUUGGAUGGGCAAUGGCCUGAAGGUUUAAUGUCUUCAAAUAAUACUCUGCAUUUCAACAGUCCGUUGACUUACAAUUAUGCUGGGACUUACGUCUGUAAGGUGACCAAUU